GCUAAACAGCUAGCCCAAUCAACCAUAAACCAAAACCAACACCAUUCCAUAACAUUUUCUGAACCAAAACAAUCAAACUAAACCAUUCUUCUGCCUCAGUACGGGCGACGGAAAAGGCACUUUCGGAGCCAUAGAAAAAGUACCGCAAGGGAAAGCUGAAAGAGAGAUGAAACAGCCCAUUUAAGCCCAAAAAAGCAGAGAUUAGCCCUCGUACCUUUUGCAUCAUGAUUUAGCCAGCACAUCUGAGCAAAGAGAACUUUAGUUCAAGCCCCCGAAACCAAGUGAGCUACCCCGAGACAGCCUAUAUAAGGGCCAACCCGUCUCUGUGGCAAAAGAGUGGGAAGAUCCCCGGGUAGCGGUGACAGACCUACCGAACUUGGUGAUAGCUGGUUGCCUAGGAAAUGGAUAGAAGUUCAGCCUCGUACUCCUCAACUCACCCAAGUACCACUGCACACGAUAUUGAGAAACACACGAGAGUUAGUCAAAGGGGGUUCAGCCCCUUUGAAUCAGGAUACAACCUUAUCUAAGGAGGUUAAGGAUCAUACCCCUCAAGAUUACUGCUUCAGUGGGCCUAAAAGCAGCCAUCUGAACAGAUAGCGUUAAAGCUCAGGCAGAACAAUAAAUCUAUUAUUCUGAUUACCCCAUCCUAAACCCCUUCUAAUACUAGGCCAUUCCAUGCCAACAUGGAAGAGAUACUGCUAAAAUGAGUAAUAAGAAGAACCGCCUUCUCCCAGCCCACGUGUAAGUUAGAUCGGACCCCCCACUAACAAUUAACGAACCCAACACCAGAGGGCAAAGUGGCCACAAACAUAAUAACAAGAAAAUACCACACCCCAAUAAUCGUUGACCCCACACCGGAGGGCUUAAGGGAAAGACUAAAAGAAAAAGAAGGAACUCGGCAAACACAAGCCUCGCCUGUUUACCAAAAACAUCGCCUCCUGCAAAAUUUUUCAACGUAUAGGAGGUCCUGCCUGCCCAGUGACAUCCAGUUAAACGGCCGCGGUAUUUUGACCGUGCUAAGGUAGCGCAAUCACUUGUCUUUUAAAUGAGGACCUGUAUGAAUGGCGGAACGAGGGCUUAACUGUCUCCUUUCUCCAGUCAAUGAAAUUGAUCUGCCCGUGCAGAAGCGGGCAUAACCAUACAAGACGAGAAGACCCUUUGGAGCUUAAGAUAAAAGACCAACUAUGUCAAAGGUCCCAAUAAAACCAAAACCAAACAAACAGUUAACUGGUCACUAUCUUCGGUUGGGGCGACCACGGGGGAAAAUGAAGCCCCCACGCAGAAUAGGGUUUAUAACCCUAAACCAAGAGGGACACCUCUAAGUCACAGAACAUCUGACCAAAAGAUCCGGCCAACAAGCCGAUCAACGGACCAAGUUACCCUAGGGAUAACAGCGCAAUCCCCUCCAAGAGUUCAUAUCGACAAGGGGGUUUACGACCUCGAUGUUGGAUCAGGACAUCCUAAUGGUGCAGCCGCUAUUAAGGGUUCGUUUGUUCAACGAUUAAAGUCCUACGUGAUCUGAGUUCAGACCGGAGCAAUCCAGGUCAGUUUCUAUCUGUAAAUGCUACUUUUCCUAGUACGAAAGGACCGGAAAAAUGGGGCCCAUACUCUAAGCACGCCUCCCUCCAAUCCGAUGAAACCAACUAAACCAGACAAAGGAAGAGCAACCCGAAACCCAAAACAAGGGACU
rnacentral:rRNA from 1 species